rnacentral:sRNA from 1 species
CUGCUUUUUCUUCUUCCCUUCCUCUCUUUUUCUUCAUCUCCUUUUCUUCACGCGAAGGAGACUGAUGAACCAGCUCAUUCCCUCCCCCGAACAACUACGACUCAGCGGGCCGGUGUCUCAGUCUGGUCCGGAGUAACAUCCACCAUGGAUUAGAGUAUAUAAAAAAACUCCAACCCUUCCCUUUUCUCCUCGCGUAUGCUUUAUGCAUCCGUCUAUAUAUAUAUAGACGGAUGGAUGGAUGAAUAUGUAUAUGCAUAUACAUACAUACUUCUCUAACUGAAACCCAGCAGCCCAUUCUCUUAACUACCAUGUAUUUCCCUAACAAACCAUAGGUAGCCCUUCUUUUCCCUCCGUUAUUUACUAACUUAUACGCACCCUUUGCUCUCUGGCCAAUGGCUAUAGCGCUGUUCUCCGGCAGGAUCGACAGAAUGGGACCGCGAUUGAGGCAACGGAGAAGGCACAGUAUUAAGUGAGGAACAAGAAAUAACAGUGUUAUAAAAGAAAGAAAAAAGACUGCCACACCGACCGACCAACAGACAGACAGACAGGCUUCUGCCUUCUGUCAAUUCUUCCCUGUCGACUUUUCAAUUCCACCAUGUUAUCUUCUGAAAAGAUUUUUUUUUUCUUUUUUUUAGAUUCCCUUCAUACGUCCCUUUCGUUUUAUUUUAUUUUCCUCCUCAAAAAAUGAAUCGCCAAUCCCUUUCUAAUUUACCUAAUAUAUCCCCGACCAGCCUAACAAGGAGAGGGAAAAGACAACAACAUCCUCACUAACAUAACGCUCUCACACACAGAGAGAGGGACAGAGAGAAAUCCCCCCGAAAAUAUCCCCGAACAUCUCUCUCUUUGUGGGCAGUCAUCAAAUGCACUGCCUGCAUGACACUAAUCACGGCCGAAGAAGGAUUGCAGCAAGCCCCCGGAGAUUAUUAUUAAUAAUUGCACCCACACCCAGCACUGUUUUUAUGACAGAGCGAUAUUCUUGA